GCAUGAGGCAGAAUUCCAUUCCCUCAAUGAGGGAGGUCCUCCGCUACUUAGCCCACCUGAAGGAGCUGGGCAGGGCACCAAAGACUCUCAAUAUUCAGUCCGCGGGGAUCUCAUAUUUUUGUAAAGCCUUUUUCGCCACCGACCAAUGCGCUGAAUUUAUAGUGCGUAAGACUUUAGAGGGUUGGCGCUGGCUCCAGCCCUCCAGCUCUGACAAGAGGAGGCCCAUAACUUAUGAUAUUCUGACCCAGAUACACAAAAAAUUACGAGCAAUAUGCUGGUCAAAAUAUGAAGCUCGCCUAUUCUCUGCCGCUUAUUCCAUAGCCUUCUUUGGUGCCCUGCGCAUAGGAGAGGUAGUCUGCGAGGGAGGGGUUGCUCACUGCCAGAGAGGCAUCCUCUUAAGUGAUCUGACCCUAUCAGGGACUGACCUAAUCGUUCAAGUACGGAGCUCUAAGACGGACCAACAGGGUAGGGGGGCCCUCCUUCGGUUACCAGCCGCACAAGGUAGUGGUCCCUGCCCGGUUAGGGAUACGAGGCGUUUCCUCUACUUAAGACCCAAUAGCCCCGGCCCCUUUUUAAUUCACGCUGAUGGAUCGCUCUUGGCCAGACACCAGUUUACGCGGGUGAUGCGCAUGGCUUUGGCAGCAUGCGGACUGCCUGUGGCCUAAUUUGCGGCUCACUCCUUUUGGAUCGGGGCAGCUACCACCGCAGUGCACCUCGGGUUCUCCACAGAGAGGAUAAAGGACUUGGGGUGGUGGAAAUCUAAUGCAUACAAAGCUUAUGUGAGAAAGAAUCUAUGACUAGCGGUUGUACUCCUGACCUUGGUUUUUCUGUCUAUUUGCUUUUCAGAAUACAAGAGGGUGCACAUUUGGUUGGUGGGCCACAGCAACCAAAUGUGCAUUGGGCCAAGAAUCGUGACAUGAGUUCCGGGUUGGGGCAAAACUUGAACUUACUUGAACUUACCUGCAAAUGUUGAGCUGACGUGGAUAGCGUGAAGAGGGAUGCGCUGGAGCGAAUUCAAGCCAGCCAUGAUGGCGAGAGCCGCCUCUGAGGGCCCACCUGAUGCCCUGGUUAUCCAGUUGGGGGGAAACGACCUAGCGUACCGCAAAGCUAUUGACUUGAGAUGGAACAUUUUUGAUGAUUUUGCUGAUCUGAUAGCGGUUUACCCAAACAUUACUAUCUUGUGGUCCUCAUUGCUUGAGAGGAGGACAUGGAGGGAUUGUUUGAGCCCGGUUGGAAUCAAUAAAGCAAGAAAGGUCUUGGAGCAGGCUGUGGAGCAUAGAGUGGCGGCUCUGGGCGGGUGCGUCAUAGGCCACCCAGGCAUCCAGUACAGCAACGAGGCCCUCUACAGAUGGGAUGGUGUGCAUCCGUCAGAUGCUGGAAACGAUAUUUGGUUGGGGGACAUCAUAGCAGGGAUUAGGAGUUGGUUACAGGUUUGAAGGUAUUGGCGGCGAGCUUUGCUUGAGUGGCGGUCAGGCAUUGGCAGGGGUUAAUUGUUAUGCAAAUGAAUGGGGGGGAAGGAAGCACCAUCACCUUCCCCCAAAGAAAAGGGUAGUCCGGUAGAGGACUCCGGGGGGGCAUUGCCUUGUCCGAAACCUAGGGAGGUAAGGGCCUCCGGCAUGCCCCCGAGCGGUGACACCCGUGGGAUCCUAGUUGGCGUACUUCAACAGGACUCCCACGGCUUGUGGAUAACCCUUCCCGGUCUCCAUGCCGGGUAGUCGAUAGGAGCCAGUGCCUAAGGCCAAUACCUUUCAAUUCUGUAAUCAAUAAAGUUGUGGCCUUUUUAUGCCCAUUAACCUUAAAUAAUGUGUCCAGUGUCUUCAUUUCACAUGGGGGAGGGGACUUGCCACGCAACCAGUUUCUGGAAACUACAGGAGGGGAGAGGGCUCUUGUGCUCAGGACCUGCUGACAGGUUUCCCUAGGCAUAUGGUUGUCCCCUGGGACAGUAGGAUGCUGGACAAGAUGGGCCUAUGGUUUGAUCUAGCAGGGCUUUUCUUAUAUUCUUAUGUUCUACACAGUGGGGCAAAGUUGGCAAUAUCUGUUACUAGAAAUGCCUAUGACACUGAAUUUAGAGAUUUGUGUUCAGGAGAAAUUUCCAUGGAUAUCUGAGGAAAGCAAAACAGAGCUUUGAUUAGACUAGCAUUUCCUUGUUUGCAAGGUACAGUUAUUAGUUUUUUCUCACCGACUUGUUACAUAACCCAGCUGACUGAAUCCUCUUACAUUUUAGGAUGAAAAAAAAGCUUUCAAUGCUAUUACAUAAAAAUGCAAGGACGGACUCUCUUUCUUUCCUUCCCCCACACCAUAAAUCUUCCAUGUACCCAGAAGAGCCCAAGAUAUUUUUUUAAAAAAACAACAUCUGCAAUAUUCUGUCAUUGAUGGUGGAGUAGAUUGUUUGCCAAACUAUUACCAUAACUGUCAGCUGAAAUCAGAAAAAUAAUCUCAUUGCCCCCUGAAUGAAUGCCUUUCUAGAAUUAUUGAUAGAGAUGCUCCAGAGUCUUGAAGAAAUAUAAAACAUAGUGCUAUUUACAAAAGGGAAUUUGGCCAAGUCCUUGAGACAUAGAGCAAGGGACAAGCAUUUACAGAAAGUGAGAUAUAGUCUGCUCGUUCAAAGUUAUGAGCUAGGGGGAGGCAGCAUCCAGAGACAGCUGCAGGAUUUCAUUUCUCUUGCUCUCAUUUUGCAGUGGCCUUCUUCUUCCAUUCACCCCUUUGUCCUUACAAAAUGACUUUGCUGUGGGUUUUAGUGCCAUGAGGCUGCAUGGAAUUGUGCACUGCAGUAGGGCUUGUGAUGUCUACAUAGCCUGUCUGUGACAACAGCAAAUGGCUGUCAAACAGACCAGGGGAACUUCAAGCCUGG